rnacentral:rRNA from 1 species
GACGAACGCUGGCGGCGUGCCUAACACAUGCAAGUCGAACGGGGCUCUUUGGAUCGAGACUUCGGUCAAGUGAAUCUGAGCUUAGUGGCGGACGGGUGAGUAACGCGUGAGCAACCUGCCUUUCAGAGGGGGACAACAGUUGGAAACGACUGCUAAUACCGCAUAAUGUGUUUUGGGGGCAUCCCCGGAACACCAAAGAUUUAUCGCUGAAAGAUGGGCUCGCGUCUGAUUAGCUAGUUGGUGGGGUAACGGCCCACCAAGGCGACGAUCAGUAGCCGGUCUGAGAGGAUGAACGGCCACAUUGGGACUGAGAUACGGCCCAG